AGCUAAACACAAGGGAGAGAAUUCAGCCCCAAUGGGUGAAAAUACUUAAACACAAAAUUGAGAGUACAUGUAGGACAUUCUCACAUAAAGGGAGAUAAAUUCCUAUUCCUAUGAUUAACAUUUGGGAUUAUCCUUGGCUUUUGAACAACAAAAUUGUAGCAAUUAAGGUAGGUUCCACACAAACUAGUUUUAUCUUUGAUAGAGGCACACAAAAUUGAGAGUACAUGUAGGACAUUCUCACAUAAAGGGAGAUAAAUUCCUAUUCCUAUGAUUAACAUUUGGGAUUAUCCUUGGCUUUUGAACAACAAAAUUGUAGCAAUUAAGGUAGGUUCCACACAAACUAGUUUUAUCUUUGAUAGAGGCACACAAAAACGGGGGAAAAGAAAAAAAAAAUGUAACCAAGAACCAAAAGAUAUUAAGCUACAUAUUGCGUACCAGAGAUGGUGUGGCCCUGCAGCCAUGCCUACUACACUG
rnacentral:lncRNA from 1 species